AAGUUUGACCUCGGAUCAGG
rnacentral:rRNA from 1 species